GGCGAACGCUGGCGGCGUGCUUAACACAUGCAAGUCGAACGAAGAGCGAUGGAAGCUUGCUUCUAUCAAUCUUAGUGGCGAACGGGUGAGUAACGCGUAAUCAACCUGCCCUUCAGAGGGGGACAACAGUUGGAAACGACUGCUAAUACCGCAUACGAUCUAAUCUCGGCAUCGAGGAUAGAUGAAAGGUGGCCUCUACAUGUAAGCUAUCACUGAAGGAGGGGAUUGCGUCUGAUUAGCUAGUUGGAGGGGUAACGGCCCACCAAGGCGAUGAUCAGUAGCCGGUCUGAGAGGAUGAACGGCCACAUUGGGACUGAGACACGGCCCAGACUCCUACGGGAGGCAGCAGUGGGGAAUCUUCCGCAAUGGACGAAAGUCUGACGGAGCAACGCCGCGUGAGUGAUGACGGCCUUCGGGUUGUAAAGCUCGGUUAAUCGGGACGAAAGGCCUUCUUGCGAAUAGUGAGAAGGAUUGACGGUACCGGAAUAGAAAGCCACGGCUAACUACGUG
rnacentral:rRNA from 1 species